rnacentral:rRNA from 1 species
GAUGAACGCUGGCGGCGUGCCUAAUACAUGCAAGUCGAGCGAACGGACGAGAGGCUUGCUUCUCUGAUGUUAGCGGCGGACGGGUGAGUAACACGUGGAUAACCUACCUAUAAGACUGGGAUAACUUCGGGAAACCGGAGCUAAUACCGGAUAAUAUUUUGAACCGCAUGGUUCAAAAGUGAAAGACGGUCUUGCUGUCACUUAUAGAUGGAUCCGCGCUGCAUUAGCUAGUUGGUAAGGUAACGGCUUACCAAGGCAACGAUGCAUAGCCGACCUGAGAGGGUGAUCGGCCACACUGGAACUGAGACACGGUCCAGACUCCUACGGGAGGCAGCAGUAGGGAAUCUUCCGCAAUGGGCGAAAGCCUGACGGAGCAACGCCGCGUGAGUGAUGAAGGUCUUCGGAUCGUAAAACUCUGUUAUUAGGGAAGAACAUAUGUGUAAGUAACUGUGCACAUCUUGACGGUACCUAAUCAGAAAGCCACGGCUAACUACGUGCCAGCAGCCGCGGUAAUACGUAGGUGGCAAGCGUUAUCCGGAAUUAUUGGGCGUAAAGCGCGCGUAGGCGGUUUUUUAAGUCUGAUGUGAAAGCCCACGGCUCAACCGUGGAGGGUCAUUGGAAACUGGAAAACUUGAGUGCAGAAGAGGAAAGUGGAAUUCCAUGUGUAGCGGUGAAAUGCGCAGAGAUAUGGAGGAACACCAGUGGCGAAGGCGACUUUCUGGUCUGUAACUGACGCUGAUGUGCGAAAGCGUGGGGAUCAAACAGGAUUAGAUACCCUGGUAGUCCACGCCGUAAACGAUGAGUGCUAAGUGUUAGGGGGUUUCCGCCCCUUAGUGCUGCAGCUAACGCAUUAAGCACUCAGCCUGGGGAGUACGACCGCAAGGUUGAAACUCAAAGGAAUUGACGGGGACCCGCACAAGCGGUGGAGCAUGUGGUUUAAUUCGAAGCAACGCGAAGAACCUUACCAAAUCUUGACAUCCUUUGACAACUCUAGAGAUAGAGCCUUCCCCUUCGGGGGACAAAGUGACAGGUGGUGCAUGGUUGUCGUCAGCUCGUGUCGUGAGAUGUUGGGUUAAGUCCCGCAACGAGCGCAACCCUUAAGCUUAGUUGCCAUCAUUAAGUUGGGCACUCUAAGUUGACUGCCGGUGACAAACCGGAGGAAGGUGGGGAUGACGUCAAAUCAUCAUGCCCCUUAUGAUUUGGGCUACACACGUGCUACAAUGGACAAUACAAAGGGCAGCGAAACCGCGAGGUCAAGCAAAUCCCAUAAAGUUGUUCUCAGUUCGGAUUGUAGUCUGCAACUCGACUACAUGAAGCUGGAAUCGCUAGUAAUCGUAGAUCAGCAUGCUACGGUGAAUACGUUCCCGGGUCU